UAUGUGAAAAAUAUUUGACAAAUGUAAAUUCCAACUUCAGCUAGGUUUUGUGUCAAUCUCAAAACAGGUAAAUUUUCUUAGCUAUUGGCUUCUCUUUGGUAGGCUUUAAAGUGGGUUGGAAGGGAAACUCAUUGCCAACAAUAGAUUGUGACUCAAAAAACUUAAGAAAAUUGGGAAAAACAACAAGCGCAGCCGGUUUUAAUAUAUCCUCAAUUAGUACCCGCAAGCCCCUUUAGGGGGUAGCUCCUCCCUUUAGCCCGGAGUAUGCACUUUGGCUCCACAAGACAUAUUCAUCCACUUUAUCUUGCCCAAAGGGGCUACCCCCUUUAGGGGGGUUGGACUACAGGGAGGGUUGGACAAAGGGCAAGGAAAGUUAUAAAAACUGAGCCACCAAAAGCCUUGGACAAUAAAAUAGAGCAAUGUUGUUUUAAUAGUACUCAGAUAAUUGUUUAAAAUUGUGCUACCA
rnacentral:misc_RNA from 1 species